rnacentral:rRNA from 1 species
UACGUAGGGGGCAAGCGUUGUCCGGAAUCAUUGGGCGUAAAGAGCGUGUAGGCGGUCCGGUAAGUCGGCUGUGAAAGUCCAGGGCUCAACCCUGGGAUGCCGGUCGAUACUGCCGGACUAGAGUUCGGAAGAGGCGAGUGGAAUUCCUGGUGUAGCGGUGAAAUGCGCAGAUAUCAGGAGGAACACCAAUGGCGAAGGCAGCUCGCUGGGACGUGACUGACGCUGAGACGCGAAAGCGUGGGAGCAAACAGG